UGGGGAAUAUUGCACAAUGGGGGAAACCCUGAUGCAGCGACGCCGCGUGAGCGAAGAAGGUUUUCGAAUCGUAAAGCUCUGUCCUAUGAGAAGAUAAUGACGGUACCUACAGAAGAAGCAACGGCUAAAUACGUGCCAGCAGCCGCGGUAAUACGUAUGUUGCGAGCGUUAUCCGGAAUUAUUGGGCUUAAAGGGCAUCUAGGCGGUAAGACAAGUUGAAGGUGAAAACCUGUGGCUCAACCAUAGGCUUGCCUACAAAACUGUUGAACUAGAGUACUGGAAAGGUGGGUGGAACUACACGAGUAGAGGUGAAAUUCGUAGAUAUGUGUAGGAAUGCCGAUGAUGAAGAUAACUCACUGGACAGAAACUGACGCUGAAGUGCGAAAGCUAGGGGAGCAAACAGG
rnacentral:rRNA from 1 species